UCCUAGCAUGCUAGCACAGGACUCAAGGGAACUAUAGGAAGAUGACAGCGCCUGAUUUUUGAAAAUGAAGACCAUUUUGGAAUUACAACUUAAGAGCAGCUAUUGCUUCAGGUUUAAAAUCAACCCUUAGACCCAACACUCGUCUAACCUCAGCAGGAGUUAACCUCCAGGUCAUAGGUCCCGAGUUUUCACCCCAGAAAUCUAGAAU
rnacentral:misc_RNA from 1 species